rnacentral:rRNA from 1 species
UAAUCCUGGGAUGAAAUGCCUAGGUGAUGACUCUAGGACAGGAACAAGCCCCGGCUAAUUACGUGCCAGCAGCCACGGUAACGGGUAUGGGGCUAGCGUUAUUCUCAAUUAUUGGGCGUAAAGGGCGCGUAUGCGGAUACGCAAGUCUGGUGUGAAAGACCCCAGCUCAACUGCGGGACCGCGCUGGAAACUGCUUAUCUUGAAUCCUUGAGGGGAAACUGGAAUUCCUGGUGUAGGGGUGAAAUCUGUAGAUAUCAGGAAGAACAUCGGUGGCGAAGGCGAGUUUCUGGCAAGUGAUUGACGCUGAAGCGCGAAAGCGUGGGGAGCAAACAGGAUUACAUACCCUGGUAGUCCACGCUGGAGACGAUGUGCACUAGGUGUUGGGGUGUUGAAACCUCAGUACCGGAGCUAACGUGGUAAGUGCACCGCCUGGGGAGUAUGCCGGCAACCGUGAAACUCAAAGG